rnacentral:rRNA from 1 species
AUUGAACGCUGGCGGCAGGCUUAACACAUGCAAGUCGAACGAAGUCUUCGGACUUAGUGGCGGACGGGUGAGUAACACGUGGGAACGUGCCUUUAGGUUCGGAAUAACUCAGGGAAACUUGUGCUAAUACCGAAUGUGCCCUUCGGGGGAAAGAUUUAUCGCCUUUAGAGCGGCCCGCGUCUGAUUAGCUAGUUGGUGAGGUAAAGGCUCACCAAGGCGACGAUCAGUAGCUGGUCUGAGAGGAUGAUCAGCCACAUUGGGACUGAGACACGGCCCAAACUCCUACGGGAGGCAGCAGUGGGGAAUCUUGCGCAAUGGGCGAAAGCCUGACGCAGCCAUGCCGCGUGAAUGAUGAAGGUCUUAGGAUUGUAAAAUUCUUUCACCGGGGACGAUAAUGACGGUACCCGGAGAAGAAGCACCGGCUAACUACGUGCCAGCCGCCGCCGUAAUAC